rnacentral:rRNA from 1 species
UACGGAGGGGGCGAGCGUUGUUCGGAGUCACUGGGCGUAAAGCGCACGUAGGCGGUGCGGUAAGUCUGGGGUCAAAGGCUACGGCUCAACCGUAGUAAGGCCUCAGAUACUAUCGUGCUAGAGUGCCGGAGAGGGUAGCGGAAUUCCCUGUGUAGCGGUGAAAUGCGUAGAUAUAGGGAGGAACACCGGUUGCGAAGGCGGCUACCUGGCCGGUAACUGACACUGAGGUGCGAGAGCGUGGGGAGCAAACAGG